CUUAAAAUUCAUUUGUGCAUUGUUAGCGGAGGGGAAUCGGUAUUAUUAGUUCAGGUUGCGUCAAUACCGUAUAUCAGCAUGAGUUGCCUUGGUAACCAAUAAUAACCGAUUUGACUACGUCAACGGAAAUACUGUACUUUGAAAAGAUAAUUACUUCGAUUUUCUCGAAAAAUGACGGAGAGAUUGAUUCCUGCUGUAAGCACCCUGGUGAAGUACGGCAAUCCAUUUCUUGUAGUGAACAGAGUAAUUGACCAGCCGUCAACGUCUGAAGCGGAAGACAUUUCCAAGAAGGUCCCCUUAACGGCUGACGAAAGACGCGUGACGGAAGAAAUACUAAACACGAUAUUGCCGCCAAAAGAGUGGGAAGAAGAUGGACAGCUUUGGAGACAGCAAGUAUCUACAACGCCAGCCACCAGAUUAGAUGUUAUUAAUUUACAAGAACAGUUGGAUAUGCGGCUACAGCAAAGACAGGCACGUGAAACUGGCAUCUGUCCUGUGAGACGGGAACUGUAUACUCAAUGUUUCGAUGAGCUAAUCAGAGAGGUGACAAUCAAUUGCGCUGAAAGGGGACUGCUCUUGCUGAGGGUGCGUGAUGAAAUGCGAAUGACUAUCGAGGCUUAUCAAGCCUUGUACUGCAGCAGCGUAGCAUUUGGCAUGCGCAAGGCGCUUCAAGCUGAACAAGGAAAAUCGGACCUUCAUCAGAAAGUGGAAAUGUUGAAAGAUGAAAAACAAGAUUUGGAACAUCAAAUAAUCGAGCUAAAGCAACGAGCCGAACAGGCUGACAGAAGGGCAGCCGAAACUCGCUUGGCUGAAGAAAGGAAACAUACAGAAGAAAUUACGUUUUUGAAAAAAACGAACCAACAAUUAAAGACUCAGUUAGAAGGCAUCAUCGCACCUAAGAAAUGACGUGUUGGAGACGUUUUUGAGUCAGAUUUUUAUAUAACGGUAUGCUACUUAGCAUAAUAAAAUGUUUACAAGUGAUAUAAACUUUAAUUUUUUUCACAAAUUAUAGACCAAAUAGACAAAAAUUUGUAUUCGAGAAGCACAAAUUCAGGAGUAACAUAAAAGUAAAAAUUUUGCACCUAAAUGGAGCCUGCGAUUUCGGUCGGCCGCUAAGCGGCUGUAUGACCUAAAACCGACAUCAAUGGUAUAUUACACAACAAGUGUAGUAGACGGCAUUUGAGUCACGAAUAUAUUUGGCACAAGCGGAGCUAGUUACGUGUGUUGGUCAAAGAAACACUUUUUUAAAGUUUCAUUUGUUUAAAGAAUUUUAUUGUUGUUAAAAACAAUUUAUAACAACAAAAAACGAGUUUACUGCCUGAAUUUAAGAACAGCAAUGAAUUUCAUCUCAAAGUUAUCUUAACGCUUAGUUGGAUACAAUUGCAUAAAUGAAAUUAAGCGAUAUAUAAAUGCAUACUGUGCGAUUAAAUUAUAUUGGGUAAGCAGGUUGUUGGUAUGUAACUAGCGCAGACUUAAUGUGUCCUUGAUGUUUAAAAUUAGAUUUUUUAGUUACUUCUGGCCGAUUGUUGGCAAAGUUCGUGCUUGAAAAUAGCUAGAAUUUAUUGUUGAGAAACGGAUUGGUAAAACUGCGUUUUCAAAAAUGAGAAAUUUAUUUUUUACGUUUUUUACCAAACCAAAACUCAACGUCGAAUGUGUUAUUCGUUCACGAAGAUCCAGAUCACAAGUCUGUCAAAUAAGUCGUUAGCAUCAAUUCGAUUUUAUUUUGUAUGGAUGGUAUUUAUAUUUCUAAAAUAUCUUCUAAAUCCUUUUGGCGUAUGAACUUCCCUCUCAAAUUUUGUAAAUGAAUAGAUCUCAAAAUAUCUAUGCCUUUCUCUGUUUUCUUUGAUAAAUGUUUUAGAAAGCGGGUGGACAAAUGAUGUUAUUAAAUAUGCUAUCCAACGAGCAACGGUCAAAUUUAAUAGUCUAUAUAUAAAGGGUGUUCUGUUUAAAACAUAAUCUUGGUUUUUACCUCAAAAAUUGUAAGAAUGUGACAAAAAAUAUCUUCAUUCGAAGAAUUUUUUUAAUUAAUGUUUAUUUGUUAUUUAGCAUGCCAAAUAAUUUUUAAAAUCGAAGUAAAGUGAUAUUUAUUCCCAUUUUAUAGGUAUUUAUGAAAAACGAACAAAAAUAAAUAAUGUUAUAUUAUUUUGAUUUUAAAUUAGUAUUUUAUUUGAUAAAUUAGGGAUUAAUUAGAAACUAAACAAAGUGACAAAUAUAAAAUUUAUUUUGGACAUCAAUUGUCUUGAUUCUUGGAGACGUCUUUUCGAUGUUGGGCCUAGAUCAACAGGUUCCACUUCAGUUACUUCGAGACUCGUUCCAGUGCGGUCGACUUCGAGGUGUGUUCGACUGCGGGAGAUCUUAAGAUAUCGAUCGGCAAAGCUCAGCGGUUCCGUCCCGAUGCUGUUAGAUGUCGCGCGCGCGCUCUCGCCAGGAUUCCUAUAGCCUGCCGAGUCCCCGUGAGCCCCCACACGGCAGGUGGCGGUGACGUGGGUCGCGGAGUUGGUGGGAUCGGGAGGAUAGGGUCGACAGUAAACAAUCGAGUGACUUAUACUCUCGAUCAUCUUGUAUACAUGAAGAGGAUGGUCUUCUUCUUCUUCUUUCUGCGUCCACUCUGUCAAACACAUUUAUUAAACAAGACUUUUAGUAAGUGACAAACCGAGAAGAAAAGUGAGGCUUAUGCUGUUUGCUUACAAUCCGACCCUGCUUCGUGUACAAAUGCAAUGCCAUUUCGGCAGGGCUAUAGGCUACGAAACCUUUCGAACUCGAAAAGGCGCUACUAAUUUUAAAUAGAUACUUAAUAUUGGGGUAAAAGUAAUAGAUAAGAUUGUUUUACAUUAAAUAUUUGACAGAUCGAUGUAACUCGUCAAGCGGAAUCCGAGAAGAAAAAUGAAGGAUGUGCUGUUUGCUGAUAGUCCACCCCUGCUUCGUGUACAAAUGCAUGGCGGGGAGACCUGAAAGUUUUCGAAACUGCGUGAGUGGAAGUCUGCGUUGGACAAAUUUUGAAAAUAUCUGAAGGUUUAACGAAUUUUGGAGAAUUCGACAGAGCUACAGACUACGAAACCUUUCGAAACGAACGUGUCCUGUUGAACUUGAAAAAGACGAAAUUAUUUUUAAAAAGAUCAUGGUAACUCGUGAAGCAACAUCUCAGAAUUGAAUCGGCGAGUUGUGUAUUUGCUGACAAUCCGAGCUUGCUCCGUUUAGAUUUUCAUAACGAGGAAUCAAAAAAUCAAAAAAGGUUAACGAUUUGGAUCAUUUUGGAAGAUACAUACGCCUCGCUUUUCAAAGCGGCCAGACGUGCCCUUGUCCACCUUGACAAAGGUGGAAUUAUUUUAGGAAAGACCAUGGCAACUAGUAAAGCAGAAUCCGAGAAUUCAAUCGGCGGCUGUAUGUUGACUGACAAGAAUAUAAUUGCUGUUAAUCCGGCCCUGCUUCGUGUACAAAUGCAUAGCGGGGAGACAUGAACAUUUUUCGAAAUCGCAGACCUAUCCUCUUGGGAUUCUACGUUGGACAAAUUCUGAAAACGACCCCAGAAAUAUAAUUGGAGGUUCAAAGCGGUGCGAGGUGACCUUUCAUAUAUGAAACAGAUCAGUCAUGGGGACACGAGAUGUGGAAAGUUUAAGCGUAGUCGUGGCCACAUUGCUACCAACACGGCAUAUAUAAGGAAUCACGAACCAUUCAGGAAUAUUGAGACCUAGACCAGUAUCUUUUUAAGUCGACAUGUGGGGUAAAGAAGACGCAGAAGCUUCAGUCGGGUACCAUCGGUAACGUAGGCGAUUGAUAUAUUUCCACCACUACAUAUAUUGGAUUGGAAUUUCCCAUUUGAUGCUUUGACUGACUAAAUGAGAAAACUUGGAGAUAUUAUUGGUGGUGCCUGCCAGCUUCCAGUUCCGAAAAAAGAAAUCCAACACUUUUCGUCUUUAUUUCCCCUGUCCUUUGUGCGCAAUAGUAAAAAGUACAGUUUGUACCCGCGAGGGUAACAUUCGCAGAACUAUAUGUUUUUAAAAUAAAUGUUUUGGUCAAUAUUCACUAGGUCGGGUUACCUUAUUAAAGAAAAUCUUAUUUCAAGAGGGGACACUAGUUUACAUUCGAACCGCUAGAGGGUGCAGAUGGUCACGCGAACAAUAUGAUCAAGUCUCAUUGACGCCAUUGCUUUUCUUACGGGUGGGAAAAUAUCUGGGCUCUGAUUGGCUUCGCCGCUCUCGCAAACUAGAGGAGGGGGAUUGAUUAAACCCCACAUUUCCGGUUGCUUAUCCAAUGGGGGUCAGUUUCAAGGGAUUAUGGGUAAAGGGGGAGGAGCUAAGAGGGUCGUGGGGAAGGAGGACACGCCCACAAAAAGGGAGAGGAGUGGGGGACACCUAAAAUGUACCUAAAAACUACUGCACUUGUUGCAUAAUAUACUAUUUUAGUAUCUUUUAAAUGACAGGGAAUAAAAAUAUGUGUUUUAUAGGCAACGCGACAUAUACAUAUUUUGUUUCCCGUUUGUUCUCGAAAAAAACACGGUUUGUCCGUUUGACAAUAAUCCACAUUUUUACUUUGCAUAAUAAUAAAAUGAAAUUAAAGUAUAUAGUGUUUUUUAAAGAUUUUUUAAAUGUAAGGGGAUUGAAAUGUCAGUGUUGGUAUGCGUGUGUAGCUUUUGUUUGUUCAAGAAAGCGUGUCGUCGGUCGACAGAGUGCGAUCGCAAAGAAUGUUUUUAAUAUUUAGAUUUCUUGAAGGAACAAGAACGUCAGCAACAGGAACACCGGGAUGGCUGACAGAGUGGACGCAAAAAGAAGAAAAAGACCCUCCUCGCAGGACAUCUGAACUAAUAAA